rnacentral:rRNA from 1 species
AGUGAACGCUGGCGGUAGGCCUAACACAUGCAAGUCGAACGGCAGCACAGUAAGUGCUUGCUCUUACGGGUGGCGAGUGGCGGACGGGUGAGGAAUACAUCGGAAUCUACUUUUUCGUCGGGGAUAACGUAGGGAAACUUACGCUCAUACCGCAUACGACCUACGGGUGAAAGCAGGGGAUAUUCGGACCUUGCGCGAUUGAAUGAGCCGAUGUCGGAUUAGCUAGUUGGGGGGGUAAAGGCCCACCAAGGCGACGAUCCGUAGCUGGUGUGAGAGGAUGGUCGGCCACACUGGAACGGGGACACGGUCCAGACUCCUACGGGAGGCAGCAGUGGGGAAUGUUGGGCAAUGGGCGCAAGCCUGGUCCAGCCAUACCGCGUGGGUGAAGAAGGCCUUCGGGUUGUAAAGCCCUUUUUUUGGGAAAGAAAAGCAGCAGGUUGAUACGCCGCUGUUCUGACGGUACCCAAAGAAUAAGCACCGGCUAACUACGUG